CCGAUGCAGCUUUAAAGGGGCAGCUGCCGCCCGGGGGCCGCCCCACGUGAGGCCGGUGCGCUCCCGCCGACCGCAGCCCCGAGCGCUGAGCCGCGGCCGGAGCGGCCGGAGCCGCCGGGGCCGGGCGGGCGGGCCGAACGGAGCGGAGCGGCUGCCAGCCCGCCUCACGCCAAGUUUGAUCGAUAACCCCCUCCCGGCCCGGGCGGAGCAGCCUCGGCGGCUCCGCUACCCACCAUCUUUGGGGGAAGUCCCUGCGUUGGGGGGGGGCUGCUGGCGACGGGGGAGAAAGGCAAUCUCGCAGCCAAUGAGCCCUGCUAGACUGGGGUGAAGACGAGAGCAGAGGGAUUUGGGGAAGGAAAGAAUAAAAAAAAGAGACGAAAGGAGGGGGAACCAUCCUCCCCACCACCUCCGCCAGCAUCGCCACCACCGUUGACACCGCUCCGAGUCUCCAGUUGCGCCCAUGCCUGUGCCGCCAGUUUCGGUUUAGGGGCUGAACCGCAGGGGCUGAAGAAAAUGGGGCAGAGCGCGCCCCGGACCCUCCUGCUGCUGCUGGCGGGGCUGCUGGGGGAGGCUCUGGCGGGGUUCCCCAACACCAUCAGUAUAGGUGGACUUUUCAUGAGGAACACUGUUCAGGAGCACAGUGCUUUUCGAUUUGCUGUGCAGCUAUACAACACAAACCAAAAUACCACAGAAAAGCCCUUCCAUUUGAACUAUCACGUAGAUCACUUGGACUCUUCCAACAGUUUUUCAGUGACAAAUGCUUUCUGUUCACAGUUUUCCAGAGGAGUUUAUGCCAUCUUUGGAUUCUAUGACCAGAUGUCCAUGAACACCCUGACGUCGUUCUGUGGAGCCCUCCACACGUCCUUCAUCACGCCGAGCUUCCCAACAGAUGCAGAUGUGCAGUUCGUCAUCCAGAUGCGGCCAGCCUUGAAAGGAGCCAUCUUGAGCCUCUUGACUUACUAUAAGUGGGAAAAGUUUGUGUACCUCUAUGACACAGAACGGGGAUUUUCCAUUCUUCAGGCAAUUAUGGAAGCAGCAGUACAGAACAACUGGCAAGUGACAGCCAGAUCUGUAGGAAGCAUAAAAGAUGUUCAAGAGUUCAGAAGAAUUAUAGAGGAGAUGGACAGACGGCAAGAAAAAAGAUACUUAAUUGACUGUGAAGUAGACAGAAUCAACACCAUUUUGGAACAGGUCGUAGUCCUCGGCAAACAUUCAAGAGGCUAUCACUACAUGUUAGCUAACCUGGGUUUCACAGACAUUGUUCUGGAGAGAGUGAUGCAUGGAGGUGCCAACAUUACUGGAUUCCAGAUUGUUAAUAAUGAAAAUCCAAUGGUUCAACAGUUUCUACAGCGCUGGAUGAGGCUUGAUGAAAGGGAAUUCCCUGAAGCCAAAAACUCACCAUUAAAGUACACGUCUGCGCUGACCCAUGAUGCAGUCCUGGUCAUAGCAGAGGCUUUCCGGUACCUCCGAAGGCAACGUGUGGAUGUCUCCAGGAGAGGCAGUGCUGGAGACUGCCUGGCUAACCCUGCAGUGCCAUGGAGCCAAGGAAUUGAUAUAGAAAGAGCACUGAAAAUGGUGCAAGUUCAAGGAAUGACAGGGAACAUCCAGUUUGACACCUAUGGGCGGAGAACAAAUUACACAAUUGAUGUGUAUGAAAUGAAAGCUGCUGGAUCACGGAAGGCUGGUUAUUGGAAUGAAUAUGAAAGAUAUGUGCCAGCAUUAGAUCAGCUGCCCUCUAAUGACACUUCAUCUGUGGAGAACAGAACUAUAGUAGUCACUACCAUCUUGGAAUCACCAUAUGUAAUGUAUAAGAAAAACCAUGAACAACUAGAAGGGAAUGAGAGAUAUGAAGGAUAUUGUGUAGACUUAGCUUCUGAAAUAGCAAAACAUGUUGGAAUAAAAUACAAACUGUCAAUUGUUGGAGAUGGGAAAUAUGGAGCUAGGGACCCUGAGACUAAGAUAUGGAAUGGCAUGGUGGGUGAACUGGUCUAUGGGAGAGCAGAUAUAGCUGUUGCCCCCCUCACCAUAACAUUGGUACGAGAAGAAGUCAUAGACUUUUCCAAACCCUUUAUGAGCCUGGGCAUCUCCAUCAUGAUCAAGAAGCCUCAGAAAUCUAAACCAGGCGUGUUCUCUUUCCUGGAUCCUUUGGCUUAUGAAAUUUGGAUGUGUAUAGUCUUUGCUUACAUUGGCGUCAGCGUAGUUCUUUUCCUAGUCAGCAGAUUCAGCCCUUAUGAGUGGCACUUGGAAGACAACACUGAAGAACCACGUGACCCUCAGAAUCCUCCUGACCCUCCAAAUGAGUUUGGAAUAUUUAACAGCCUUUGGUUUUCCCUGGGUGCCUUUAUGCAGCAAGGAUGCGAUAUUUCUCCAAGAUCUCUCUCAGGGCGAAUUGUUGGAGGAGUCUGGUGGUUCUUCACUCUCAUCAUUAUCUCUUCCUACACUGCUAAUCUCGCUGCCUUCCUUACGGUGGAAAGGAUGGUUUCACCCAUAGAGAGUGCAGAGGACCUGGCUAAACAAACUGAAAUAGCCUAUGGCACUUUGGAUUCAGGCUCAACCAAAGAAUUCUUUAGAAGGUCAAAAAUAGCUGUCUAUGAGAAAAUGUGGUCAUACAUGAAGUCAGCUGAGCCCUCGGUGUUCACCAAGACGACGGCGGACGGGGUGGCCAGGGUGCGGAAGUCCAAGGGCAAGUUUGCCUUCCUGCUGGAGUCCACGAUGAAUGAGUACAUCGAGCAGCGCAAGCCCUGCGACACCAUGAAAGUUGGAGGCAACCUGGAUUCCAAGGGCUAUGGUGUAGCAACCCCCAAAGGCUCAGCAUUAAGAAAUGCUGUUAACCUGGCAGUAUUAAAACUGAAUGAGCAAGGCCUCUUGGACAAAUUGAAAAACAAAUGGUGGUACGACAAAGGAGAGUGCGGCAGCGGGGGAGGUGACUCCAAGGUCAGCCUCAAUGUCACCACAAUCGGGUACCUUAGCAAAGAGUAAUCGGCAAGGCUGUUAUUUUGCUUCUCAAGAAAAAAAAACUCAAAAAGAAAGCAGAUGAAAAUUAUUUCACUAAUUGUGGUGGGGAAAAAACACUAUUUUCUUGUUCAGUAGCUCUUUCAAAGAAACAGUCUUAUUUAAUAUCAUCAGCGGGUUUGUUCGAGCUUGGAAACCUUAUUUACUAACAGAUAGAAAGUCUAGUGUUGGUGGGACCUACGCAGAGUAAAUCAGUGAGGGAACUGUACAAGAAACCAGUGAUCGCCUCUGGUCACUGCCCCAACCCUUGAGAACAAGGGUUUAUGAGACUUUUUUGCCAGGACCAGCUGUGCCAGCACAGACCUGGGGGUGUAAGAGCUCCUGUUUCCUUUGGCCUUUUGGGAAGGUUUUGGAAAUGUUGCCUGGAGUAUUCAAAUGUCACCUUUUGUACAGCACUGAUCAGUUUUGUGCACGCUCCUGUGCAGGAACCCUGUAUCUGUGUUUGACAUGCCUUUGAUACAGAUGUGGACUCAAAUCUGGCUCCAGUGGCAGCCUUAUCACUGCUUCUGAGCUGAGGAUUCCCCCAGCCUUCCAGGCAGCCUGUACUGCACCUUCACGAAGUUGCUUCAGUGAGCUCAUGUAUUGCAAAUGUUAACUAGUGUGCUUUCCUCUUGCCAACUUUGCCCUGUAGGACUGGCAGUCCUUUUCUGCAGUCUUUAACCCAGUGAGGAUAAGCUAUAGCUAGAGUUGGCUGGGUGUUGUUGGUCACCGUGGGUGCAAGAAUUACCAAGAAAAUUAAUUUAAAUGACAUUGUUAUACUGAAAAGUACUGAAAUUCAUUUUUAUAGUGACACUCUCCUACAUCUAGUAAAACCAGAUCUUUAGGGAGCAAUAACUCCUAAUAUCUCCAAUAAAAAUGCUUCAGAUUUGGUCCAAAAUCAAUAAUAACAGUAAACUGCAGUUUCGGACAAUUACUGCAAAUUACUGCUACAAUCUAUUCAUGAGAGUUGCAUACAGUUGGCUGUAUAGGAAAUUGCUCAGCUCGUCAUGUCUACUGCGAGCAAAAGCCACUGUAUAAUAUUAAAGGAAGGAAAAGCUCUUGAAUUUGGAUUGAUUCAGUAGCUGGAGGUCUGCAGUGCUCAGCAGCAGCCUGGAGAUGAGCACAAGCUUUUUUCAUGCCUUUUUAGGUCUGCUGCUCAUCCUUCACAGAACAUUUUUAUAUAUCAUAUUUGCCAGUAUAUUAAAUGUUUAAUAUCCUCCUGGGAUCCAGCACCUCAUUGUCUAAUGCUGCCUCCCUGAAAGAAAACUCUUAAUACAAACCAGCUUCAAUGAACUUCAUUGCUUCAAGUUCAUUGAAUUAAACCCAGCCAAUAACACUUACAGCCCUAAGGAAACUAAAGAGGGCUUUUUAAAUGGUCACAAUUAGGGCAGGGCCAUCUUUCUAUUUUUGCUUGCGCUGGAAGAUGUUUUACAAAGAACACUGCUGUCUAUUUGGCCAGCCCUUGGCCUGUUCAGGCAGUGCUGAGGGAGUGGAGUCUGGGGUUCUGUGGUAACAGGAGUUGGUACCCAGAGAAGAGGGAAGGAGAGCAAACACAGUAAUGUGUGUUUUGCUGGUUUAGUCCCAAGUGAUGUCUGUCUGCAGUUUGUUGUAACAUGCUGUGGUGGAGGACUUUGAGCUAUAAGUAAGGUGUUUGAGCUAUAGUCACCAGCCCUUGGGGCACAGCUCAGCUGGCACUAGUCCCCAGAGAGGAGAACAUGGGAUGUAGAAGACCUCCCACAGAAGACUAAGCUAAGGGAGGCAGGGAAGGGGUUAGUGGCUGUUUCUAGAGAUCUGGUAAAUCAAAGGGCUUUUUUGUUACGAAGUGGCUUUUCCUUUGAGGUAGAUCUGUAGGCCCUGAGCCCUGCAGACUGCAGUGUGGCUCCGUUGCAGCAGACAGGCAGAGCCUUCCCAGCACACCCCCAUCGCCGGCCAGGCCCUGCCCCAGCCCAGCAGGAGCCCCACCGCCCUCUCAGGAAAGGGGAGCUCUGGUGCUGCCCCUUGUGCACUGCAGCUCCAAGAGUCUUGCUGGCCUCUCUCUCCUCACUGUCCUCCCACCAGAAGUUGCCCCCAUCAUCUCAUCCCAUCUCUCCGGUUAAUUGUUUAUAUGAGCACGGCUUCAUUUGUAGAUCAUUCAGAGGAGUCGCUGCAAAGCUUAUUUUUUUCCAUUUUACCUUAAAGGAGGCGUCAGCUGGGGGAAUCAGGAUGGGGUGGUGAAGGUGCCUGAGGUGCAGAUACAGACCUUGCCCUCCAUCUCAGCCAUUGCUCACUCGGGGCAGCUCUCUCUACUGGCUGAGCUGACAGACUCCUCUCUCAGCUCCCCCAGUAGAGACCCGGGCUUGGGAAAUCGCUGUCCCUGAGUCGGCAAUCAGCCACCUCCUACCUCCUGACAGUGGGUUGUGUAAUGGGUUGUGUGUAGAUGUGAGUCAUGGCAGACUGGUGAUGCCAGUUUCUUAAGCUGAGUUCCUCUGUGACUCUGAUACUUUAGCUCUUGCUGAAAGCCAGAGGUGAGUAUGAGCCUGUUUGCUUGUGCCAGUGCCAUCGUUGUACUGCAAAGGACCCGGCCAGCCCUCCCCUGCUCGUGCUCCCUGCGGUCUCGCAUGCGGUGUGCCUGUGCUCGGAGAGGAAUCAUUCUGAGUUGUGAGUUCGUCUCUUGUUACCGGAUGUUACCACCUCUGGAAAAUUAAACAGUGACUUCCAUUUUCACAAGGAUUUUGAGUCUUGCAGCGGGAAAAACAAGAGCUAUUCGAUUGGCUUCCUGCAGGCUUUGAAUCUGCCGGUUUACACAGAGUGCAAGUGUGGGCAUUCCGUGCUCCUGGGGUUCACUCAUCAUUCAAGGCUAAAGAGAUUGUGCCGUUUUAAUGAGUUUGUUUUAAAGGCCUCAGCUGACAUGUGUCUUGUUUUCAAUGCUACCAGUCUGUGCCAGUGCUGGUGCAGAGCAGAGGGUGCCAGUGUUGGUACUGCCCCGGCAAAGGGAAUUACCCGAUUUCAGUAGUGGUCCUUAUUUAACAAGUCUGAAGGGAAAUAUGCUCCAUCCAUACAUAAUUUCUCUGGGAUGCAUGUCAAUACAUGUGGGCUGACUUGGCUGAUGCAGACGUGCAUCAAAACUCAUUCACUUAGCCCUCCUAAAUGAGCUUGAAUUUAGUUUCAUGGCAAAAUUAUCCUCUCUUUAAAUGCUCUUAUACAUGCAAGCUGAGUUCUCAAUCAUGAGAGAAUACAAAAUAGCAGUUGUAAAAAAAACAUAUUCCAGGAAAUAUGUUGCAGUGUAUUACAAGUUUGGAAACUAAUUAUUUUGUUUAUUAUACAGUCCUAUAUUCUUGGAGCUGAGUUAUGGCUGAAUAGGGAUUUAACAAGAAUUAGACGAAAGGGGAUGCAGAUGGUGGUCACAGCCUGAGUGACUUAAGUUGAAACUAAUUAUUCAGUUGCAUAGGAACAAUUUCCUGCUAAGAUAAAUUUCCAUAGUUCUGCUGUUGAUAAAUUUCUUGUAUUCUUAUACCUUCAUGGUAACAUUUAAUGACAGCCAACACGGAAGGAGAAUGUUUGAAUGCAGCUUCUCACCAACUUCACCUGCCAAGAUUCCCUGCUAAUUAUUUGACUUAAUUUCUUUAAUAUAUUCUUUUUUAGGCUGAUACCUCUUUUGGACAACAUCAGAGAAAUGACAUGCAAUGUAAAUUAUUUCAUUUUCCAAUUGUUUCUUUUUAAUCAUAGAAUUACUUUUCCAAUGUGCUAGUUGAGUUCUGCCCUCAGAGCUGUGCUCCAUACAAUAUCCUAUUCCCAAGACCUUCAGAACUGUGAGAGUGGCCAUUAGCAGAUGGGAUCUGUUCCCCCGUGUCUGUGUGCUGUUUUGCUUUGAUACAUUUUCAGCACAGCCGUUAGCAUUUGCAGCAUAAUUUUUUUAAGUGGCAUAUUUUUAGAAGAAAUCUGUUACGCUUUAUUUUAGAUGAUACCUGAUGCCUAAAGAGCACCAUUGCCAAACACGUCGUGCAUAAAAGAGAACAUUUGGGAAAAUGGCUAUCUUAAAAAGAUGCAGCACGAUUUAUUUGAGCCAUUUGUUAGAAAUUAUGUUCAUCAGCAUGAAUUUCCUUGUCAUCCAUACUAUAGGCCUGCGUUAUGAGCUGGAAAAAGAUAAAAUGGCUGAUCAGAGCCAGUGACAGUAACACAGAGCUAAUUCAUGCUCAGAGCUGGGAAAGUAAUACGAAAUUACUGUAUUGUGCAAAUUAGUGACAAAGCAAAAUAAUGCUUUAAAAGGAAGACACCAGAAUAUUGGUUUAAUUGACAGCUAUUACUUUAUAGCGUAUUAGGAAAUAGUACUGUGUAUGUUUUGUGGCAGUGAUGAAGUCUUAAUGCUCCAGGAGUUCAUCUCAGAGCACUGCCAAGAAGGGCAGAGAGCCUGCUCUUGUUUGCAGAAACAGCAGUGCUGUUGUGCAGAUUGUUGUGCAGAUUAUUUUCCUGGAAAUGGAACUGGGAGAAGCGGCACAAUAAUUUGGGAAGAGUAGGUUGCCUGCGCUGGGAAGGAGUUGGUGGAGUCAGAACCAGUGGUGUCCAAGAAUUUGGAACUGUUUAGUUUUGCCGGUAUAACCUUUAGCAUCGUGGAGACUGGCUUUGCUGCCUUGCCAAAGCCAACUCAAGACCUGAGUGUGCAAGGAGACCUGUUUGUGCAGCGUUAAUUGUGGCAGACCUGGGGCUCCUGCCUGGAUGCCAUGUCCUGCCUUUAUGGCCACAAGAAGUCUUAAAGACUUGUUAAUUGUGCACUCCUUUUGAUAAUAUCUGUGGUGCUUAACAGUUAAUUUCCAUAGAUUGCUUACAUGAGUCAUUUAUCCUGCACUGUAAGUAUCAGUAUGGGAAAAGACAAGGUCGAGGGCUCUGUGGUACUGGAAAAGGAAAAAGGAAAACCAGCAGCUGGAAGUGAAGCUCCCAGCAGCAGGAGCAGGGCCCUUGCUUUGUAUGUCUCCCUGGGGGUCUGGGCUUGGUUGUUUCUCUUUAAUAGUAGCUGCUGUCAUUUAACAUACAAAGGGAAAAGUAAAUGCCUUUCUUCUUCUUCAAAGUGACUCUAAGGUUUCAGCAUUCUGCUCACGUGGACACAGGCACUGGUGCUGCUCUGUGGAUUUCUCUGUGCUGCUGGCACUGUAACCAUGGGCUGAAUGCCUCUAGCGUUUGUACACAACGUAGCUGUUCCUCGAAUGUCUUGUGGACUAGCCUUUGGACUAAGCAGCACCCACCUGCAGCCUGCUGAGGAGCCAAGAGCAGGAGUCACAGAAGAAGCCGUUUCAAGAGGAAAAUAAAGAUGGGGGGAAAUGGAUGUGCCUAGAGACAAGAGAAAGAGAAGGUGAGGGGAUAGCCAGCAUGCAAGGUAAGUUGUCUCUUGCUCGUCCCCAUCCAGGUUAGAAAGGACCCAAGCAAUGGCAGGAAAGGUCCAUGCUGCUCUCUCAGAUGUUGUAGGUUUGAGUGCGAUGUUGGGCACCUGCCCUCCUUUGCUCUUCUUCCACCCUCUUGCCACAUCUGUACCUCACAUAUCGGGCACUGCUGUGAAUGAGCUGCAGUGACUUGUUGUGGCUUGUAUUUCCUAAUCCAACCAGCCUGUAUUAUUGCAUUAGCAUUUGGCACUUCUCUUAAAUUAUGAUCCUGUUAGUAUAGAGUUUAAUUUGUUUAAGCUACAUUUGUGAAACAUAUAAAUAUUCUUUCAUAGAGACACUGCUUCUGCCAAACACAGGCUGCAGACUCUGCAGAGAGCAGAAGAACUUGCAGCCUCAGCUGGUAACACAUCUGGCUGUGUAGAGGUGUGCACAGAGUGUCUGUAGAUGAUGCAAUGACAGCGUGCACUCAAACACCCAAAUUUAAAAUGUAUACCUGGUGACCAAAGGAAAAACGCUUUACAUUCCAUAAGGAUAAACUGGAUGCUCCAACCUGUAAUAGCAAUUUACUCCUGCCCAGUAAUGGAGACCAUAACAAAGUUCUGUUAUGGACAACUAUUGCAGCUACUCAGUGCUCAGCAGGAGCUAAAUCCAUCCCCUGGCAGCCAGGGAGCUGCAGCCCCAGGAUGCUCCUCACCAUCACUCAGGGCUGCAGGGCCUUGAGCAAAGGGAACUGCUGCUGGCUCUGCUGUUGAGGAAAAGCAACAUCCUCUGCCAGGGGAUUUAUUGCUCUGCCUCCAAGCACUACCCUGCCAUUGACAUGCAGUAUAUUUCUUAGGUGGCUGGGGGAUGUAUAGGGCUUGAGGUGCUGAGUUUUAAAUUUUCUAAUUGUGCAAGCUCUUUGUCUUUCCAAACUAGAUGGCUUUCCCUUUUAUCCCUUCCUCUGCCACCCAUAAAGCAUUUCAAUCCCUCAAAUGUUGACUCUUGAAAUGUGCAACUGCUGGUAACACAGAGCAGGGAAAAAGUGGUGUGGGUCUGAAAGGGUAGCAAAGAGCAGCCAAGGGCUCAUUAUUGAAAAAAGAACUGCCUGGUGCUUUUUGCAUUUUUUCAUUGAAUAUUGAAUGUUCAGCGUGGAAUACCAAAGAUUACUUUUUGAGACAGAAGGUAGGAAGUAGUGAUUGACAAGGAGGAACAGGGAUUGACCAUAUGGGUUUUUGCCUGUAUUUUCAGGGCUCUUCAUUCCUGCUUGAGGUACCAGGCAAGUGCAGUCUUUAAACAAUCAUAGUAGGUUUGGAUAAUGAGCCCAUUUCCAAACAAAGUCUUCCCCAACCUUCAGUGUGGGUGUGUCACAAAACAUGAAGUCAUGGCACAGAGACAUUGCUAAAUUGGUGAAUUGCAGCAGGCAGAUGGAUUAUCUGAUCUGAGCAAGGGCAGAGCCCUUGGACGAUGCGCUCACCCACAGGUUUUGUAUCUAUUCAGAAGUUAUUUCAGUAACAAGAUCUGACAAAAAGUCCAUUCAAUAGUUACAGAUCAGGCUGGGAUUUAUACAGCUUGGGGGAAUAAAGUGCCUUAUUUGAUUUAGAUGGGUCUUUAACCUCGAGCGAUGCCCUCUAGAGAGUAGUGCUGGAUUUGGUGUAUCUUCCUAGAUUGUUUCUAUCUUUAUAUUUUAAUGAUACCAUGAUGGUUGUUAGUGAUACUUUUUAUGGUAUCCUGUCAAAUUAAGCAGAGAGCCUGGACUUGAUUUCUGCCUUUGUCAGUCCCUGCACAGCCCUGUGCCUGUGCAGGCUGGCUCAGGGAUGCAGCAGUGGCCACCUGCCUUCAGGCCCACUCAGCUCCAGUCAAACAGGACUGGAGGAGGCAUUCAGCAUCACCUCUUCUCCUCCUGCUAGCAGGGAAGGGAAGGCUGGUGUUUCUGUGUGAUGUGUGGUAGUGAGGGAUUUCUCUGCUUGGCUGAAAGCAGUGCCAGGCAGUGGUGCCUUGUUCAGGGACACACUGAGGGUAGCUCAGUUGGUCAGAGCAGGAUGCUGAUAAAACCAAGAUUGUGGGUUCAAUCCCUGGAUGGGCCUUUCAUUUAAGAGUUGGACUCACUGGUCCUUGUAGGUCCUUUCCAGCUCAGAAUAUUCUGUUAUUCUGUAAUCUCUGUGCUCUUCAGGUAUUUGCCUCUCAGAGCAUGGUAAAUGUGGCAUGUCCCACAUGUCUACAGCAAGCUGCCCUCUGUGCUUUCCCUGAAGUUAGGGGGGAUGGUUAGGUUAGCCAGUGACACCAGCAGGAACAAUUAAUUCAGCGUUUUCUGUUGUUUUGCCCAAGAGGAUUUUAGGAAGCAUUUUGGAUUUAGAAAAUGCUUGCUUGUUUGCACCUUAUUCUUCUUGCCUUUCUCUGAUGCUGUGAGGUGGAUUUUAGAAACCCAAGUGUUUAACGUCUGAACUCUUUGAUGUUAUGAUGAUUUUGGUUGGGUUGUGCUGAUGUUGGCAAUCCCAGGGAUGUUCCAGCCAGCAAGGACAGCUCUGGCCAUAAGGAACAAAGGAAGACAUUUCUUGCUGUAGAAGUGAGAGUGCUCCAAAUAUGUCAGAUUCCUAAACUAAAAGGAUUAGGCAAAACCAACAGGGAUUAUUUAAUUAUAAAACAAGUUUAUUAUUACUUAAUGAUAAACAAGUGAAAAACCACUUUAUAAUGUACUAAGCAAGACCUGGUACCACCAUGGACUCUCACCUCCUUCACAUCACUGAGAUUUGGACAGGAGGGUAACAAGCCCUUUGCAGAGGCCGAGCCCUUGGUGUGACCGUGGGGCUUGGCCAGGGCAGCACUCUGAUGCAGAGGGAGGAUGUCAUCUUUCAUUAGGAAGGACAGACUUGGACUCUUAGAGGGACAGAUUUGCCAGAAGCCUCCUGUGUGUUUCUGUUGCUCUGAUGCCACAGAUCAGCAUCUAGUAUCAGGCCUAGCCAGAUACUAGACCAGAUUUACAGCUGUUCUAUGCCUUGCAGUGUGACACAGCCAGAGCCCAGGGUUGUCUUUGGCACUGCAAUUUCACCUUGUCCUGUGCACCCAAAGGGCCAGUACCAAGUACAGGGAGUCACAAACAGCUUUGCUGUAAGUGCUGCAUCCCAAGUGAUGUGAGCCUGCGUUUCCAUGACACCUCUUAAACCAGAGGAAUUGGUUGUCUGCUGUUGUACUGCUGGGAAAAAUGAACAAGGGCCUGUUGGUGACCACACAGGAUUGUGCAUUGUGGUAGCUGCAGUGUUAAGUACACAGGGAGGUCUGUUAGCCAAGGACAGUUCUGGUGACCAUAUUUGCUGUAUGUUUGGAGCCAGCAUCCAUCUGCUUUUGUGAGAAGGAUCCCCACUGUCACUGGCCUUAAAUUGCUUAGCUUCUCCUCUAAAUGAACUCUGUAUAUUGCUGGGUGAGAUGGCACACGUCCCUCCACAGUGCUGCUGGGGGCAUGGAUGUCCUGGCCAAGCAGCCCUGCAGAAGCCUGUGGUGCUCUCCUGUGCAGGGACCACUCAUGAGCAGUGAAGCUGCAGUGGUUGGAGUUCUUGCCCAGUGUUUGACACCUCCUGAGCCAGCUGGGCAUCCCUCCCUGGCUGAAGUGCUGAUCAGGUCUGCUGCACCUUGUGCUCUGCUAUCCUGAGCUGCAGCCCCAGGCACACAAGAAGAAAGGAUGUUUUCAAGACCAGAGAGGAGCUCUCAAUGCUGAAUGUUAUUCUGGUCUUCCUUCAAGUUUGUGGUGAUUUCUUUACCCUCUACCUCCAAAAAAAGCUAUGUUUGGACUCUCAAGAUGCUGCAGGCAACACUGUUGGGAAAAUGCUACCCUGUACACCUGAUACUCUACAGAAAAUCAGAAACCAGCUGAUGGUGUAUGAAGGAAGACUUGCAGCUGUAAAACCCAGGUAGUGAGAGGUGCCAGGGCAGCCCAUGCACUGCCCUCCCCAUCCUGUGCCACCCCAAGGAAGCCCUUUAAUUGGUGCUUUGAAGAGCCUUGCUUGUUACGCUUUUACUUUGCAGCUUGAUUUUCUGAAAGAUUGCAUCUAAAAAUUCUAAAUGAAUUCUGAGCAAUGGUUUGUCUGGUUUGAAAGGAACAGUGUGCUGUCUGCCGAGUUUAUUCACUCUCCUUGGCAGUGAUUGGGUUUGGGUAUAACAUUUAUAUUACAUCCAUUAGAGCAUGGAAUGGGAUGUGAAUUAUCCAAAGCUGUUCCAAUCAUCACUUAAAUCUUUUAUAGAUUGCAAGUAAUAAACAUAACUACAGUGUUGCUGAGACUUCAUGCCACUCAAACACCAGUUAGACAGAGCUGAAAAAAGUCUGCAGAUUAUUGGGUGAGAUGUUCGAGUCCUAAAGUGACUUCUGUUCCCAGUUCUCACCUCCAGUGGUCAUUGACUCCUUCUAUCACCUGCUGCGACUUGUGAGGACCAGCCCAAACACUGGCUGCAAAGGCACUGGCAUCUUUCCUGGAAAACAGCCCUUUCCUGGCAAGAUCGCGAUGUUCUUUUCAUAAAUUAACAGCGCUCUUCCAAGAAACUGCUCAGAUUCGUCACUGCAGUUCAACUUUGUUCAGAAAAGAGUCCUGUUUACAGCACUAGCACACAAGCACCAUGGCCAGUUACGGGAACCCACCUGCCAAAAGGAGCAGCCUGGCCAGCCUUUGCAGUCAUCUGUGGGACUGCAGCCUGCUGGCUUGUUCUAGCCAGAAAGAAUGGAAAGAAAUAUUAUGACACCACCAGUUUUCUCAGUGGAGAUAACAUUUACUGCAACUAACUGGAAACUGGGGCUUUGGUAGGAGGAGGCAAGGCAAGAAAUCCUGCAGACAGGUAAGGCUGUCUCAAAGAGAAUAGGAGAGAGUGGAUGGCCUCCGAGUCUUUGUGUUCCCUCUUUUCCAUAUUAAUUGCAUGAAUGGAAGAUGGGUAAUAAUGAAAUAGAAAUCUUUGCAAAGAGCACAUAGCAGCUCCUUCUUCUGAGAAGGAGCAUCUGCAUGGUGAACAUACUCAGCCUGGAAACAAUGCCAUGUUUUGUACAGGAUCAACCUGCAUGACAAAGUGCUGUAGCACCUCCUGAAUUUGAGGGAAAGGUGGCCCAAGUUCUUAAAUUGAACCUGAAGCUUUGGAGACACAGCUCAGGGGUGAAAUUUAAAUGAGCUUGUUUUUCAAAAAUCAGUUCAUUCCAUCAGUAUCAUGCUGUUCUCUGGGGCCACCAGCAGCAAAGGGUGCAGAGAGCUUCUGGGUCUGGUGUCCUGCACCCAGACAGGCUGAAGUGCAGCAGGGAGGAGGCCCAAAGGCACACAGCAAAAGGAAAAGGAGGUCUCCUUUGGGAUGGUGUCAUAUUAAAUCUGGAAGAAGACUGGCACAGCUUGUUUUCUAGCAGCAGCUGAUGGCUGAAGAGGGGAAGGUUAUGCUGCCAGCACCUGAAUGGAGUCUCCUAAUAGGGUGGUAGAGAAACAAAACAGCUGAAACACCAAUAAAACCCACUCUGUCAAGGUAUAAAAUCGUGUUUGUGGCAGUCUCUGUAAAACAGGUGGGCACUGAUCUUACAGUCAUGCUGCUCUUAAAAGAAACAACCAUUGCAGAUGGCUUAAUUCCCCUCUAAGGGCAGUACUAUCCCAUAUGAGGCUCUUGGUAUUGUUUUUCUAAACUCAAGUCUUCUGAUCAUUUGUAGAAAAUAAAUCUUAGCAGGGUUUGGUAAAGCUGCCCAAGAGAACCAGCCUCACAGGUUUAAACCUGGAUGAUUCAGAUCAUACUGGAUGAAAAACAAAAGCAAGGAAACAACAAAAUCCUUCAGCUGUGGGAAGGAAGAAAACCUGCAAGUUUCUGGACAAGAGUAACAUCCUGUGGAAUCCAAAAUGCUGACAUCCCGAUCCAAAUGGCCUCAUCUCAUUUUCUUGGUAUACAGAGCACAACAAAAGAACACAAGCUCUCAAACCUCUAAACAUUUUACUUUUAUCAAAGCAACCAAGCUAACAGAGAGAGGUCUGGAAACCACACAGGGGAGAUGAAAAAGAAUCCCAUGAUAAAUUAAAGCAUGGAAAAACAGUGGAAGCCACCUAGGAAAGGGCCAGGGAUUUCAUAGGAUAUCCCAUACAGCUCAACAACAGCAACAUAAUUUAAAAAAAAAAA